ACAGGCACUCACUUCCUUUGCGUCAUCCUCCGAAUUAUCAAUCAUGGCAGAUCCAAAAUAUGCAAAUUUACCUGGAAUUGAUUUAAACUCUCCCGAUGUGUUUGAGACCAGCGACCUUCCCGAGGAUGACCAGGCUAUGAAGUCUGAGCCAGUGGGCCAAGAAGAAGUUCCAAAUGAAAACAUUGACAAGAUCACUUUGGACACCAAGACUGCUCUUACAAAAUUCAAAGGAAGGGAUCUUCAGGCUGAAUCAGUUGAUUUUUCUGACAAAAUAGGUGGACAUUUCCGCACGGGAUAUGAUGCCUCCAAAACAGAGUAUGAAAUGCUGGAGGAAGGAGCAGGGAAGAUGGAGUCCCCACAGCAAAAGUUUCAGAGGCUGCAACAUGAAAUAAGAGAACUGUCUGAAGAAGUUCGCAGGAUCCAGGACAAUGUGAAACAGGAGUCGACCUCGGAGAAGAUGACACCAGUCUCCCUGGGUAAACAGUUGGAUUAUCUACAACAUCAACUAAAUGACCUUCACCUUGAGAAAAUUCUUGGUCCGGAGGCUGGCAUUAACCUUGCUGACCCUCAGGGUGCUUUGCAAAAAAGACUGAUGACCCAGCUGGAUUCCUUCCAGUGUGGAGGAGCUGACACUAAAGGAAAGACUCCAACUAAAGGAAAGUCGGAAGGUUCAGCCGACUGUGUCACGUACGAGCUGUAUUAUAGACCAGAACAGGCUCAGUUCAGUAAAAACGCCAGGCUGGCCAGUCUAGAAGAAAGACUUGAGAGGUUGGAAGCAGCAAUAGGUCAGAACCAAGAAAAACUGAGUGUACUAACAGCUGAUACUGCCAACAAAAGUCUUGUGGGUGCAGUGGCUGUUGUGAAUUCCAAGCUUUCCUUACUAGAACAGUCCAAUCUAGAUCAGGUGGAGGCCCGACUUCAAGGGGUACUACAUAAACUUAAAGAGAUUGUUGAGAAAAAGUCUGCUGUGCAGGACGAUCCUGACAAACAGAACAAGAUUGCAGAGCUGUAUGACCUAGUUAAGAAGUGGAACAGUGUAUCAGAAACGUUACCUCAAGUGGUGGACCGUCUGGCUGCUCUCAAGGAACUACACGAACAAGCAUUACAAUUUAGUCAAUCUCUGACCUACUUGGACACGGCCCAGCAGGAAAUAGCUACCAGUCUAAACACCCAUGGAGAUAUGCUUAAACAACUUCAAGGUACUUUCAAACAAAAUAUGGAUGUGAUCAAGGCUAAUUGUGCAAGUCUUGACAACAGAGUGAAAGCUCUACAAAAGUGAAGACCCUGUAUCAGACUUUUAACAUAGUGCUGCCAACAAAGGAUGCAAGACCUGUACCAAAUACUGCCACUCGCCGUUCCAAGACCUGUAACCACCUAUAAAGUUACUGCCUCUUUAGGUCGCAAGAUUUGUAACCAAAUAGUGGCACUCCAGGUUGCAAGAUUUGUAACCAAAUAGUGGCACUCCAGGUCGCAAGACUUGUAACUAGUUAAAGCCAGUUCAAGGUGCAAGUUUUGAAGCUAUAUACUAUAUAUAGCACUACCACGUUAGGGUGCAAUACUUAUUUUGCCAAAUAUACACUAUUUUGGAGGCAAGAGUGGUUACUAAAUACUUUGAGAUUAGGUGAUAAGACUUUUAUCUAAGUUUAGCCUAUUUAGGUUAGAACUGAACAAGGCAAGAGUGCAAACAAUUGUGUUCCCUCUGAAACUUUGUAACUUGUAUCGCUGUUAACUUUAGGUAACGGGGUGGGAAUAACUCCCAUAUAGGUCAAUGAUUGAUGGGUUUUAUUUCUCUGCUUCUUUCCCAUAUAUGUAUUGUGAUAGUCUUCAAUUGUAAUUCCACUCUUAGUAUAUGCCAUGUCAUUCGGAUUUGUUUAUUACAAUGAAAGCUCAUUGCUUCAUGGAAUUGCUUUUUGUGUACAACAGAUAAUAGUUGUCUGUACGCUAGUUUCUGUGCACCAUGGAAACUCCUAGACUAGACUUCCUUGUUUGUGUAGACUUAAAAAACUAUUGUCGGAAAUUGAUGCUUUCCAAGACUAAAGCUUGUUCACUAUUUUUGAAAGAAAGUAAAUUGUCAGUUGUAAAAACUGAAAUUGGAGCAAAAUGUUUUGGAAAUUUGUUCCGACCACAUUCUGUAUAGUAAGUAUUAGGAGUUUGUGUCAUUAAGUGCUAAGAUGUCUAGAUCAUAUGCUGUCUGUUAGUGUCUGUCAGGUGUAAAUGAAGUUUAAUUUAUGUUCAGAAUUGUUUUAAUGGUGUAUUGCAAAGUUAUGCUGGAACAAAAUUACUAUGCUUAUGCUUCAUUUGAAAAAUAUGUAUUUAAACUUCAUAUCUUAUUUAUUUCUAAAGCAGAUCAUGGCAUUAUUUGUUUUAUUGUUUAUAUUAACAACACAUACAAGGAGUUCAGGAGAAAAAAUAUUCCAACAAUAUUGUUUUGUGUUAAGUUUGCAUAUAUAGAUGUAAAUUGUACGGCUUUUUGAAUUUCAUUAUAUGAUGCUAAAACGUAGCAUGAAUGUGCAUACGCCUGUAUUGUAGUCAUGUAUCUAGUCGAAACAUUUGUUAUUCAAUCUUAUUCAGAUGUUUCUUUCAAUCUUAUUCAGAUUUCUCUUCAAAUGUAAAUUUGAUGCCUGAAUCAGAGAGGAAAUAAAUUGAGUCAUCUUGGCUUUACGGAUCAAACAGUAUAAAAUGCUUAAACCAGCCCCUCUCUAAACUAACCCCUCUCUAAUCCAGCCCCUCUCUUAUCCAGAUUCUUCUCUGCACUGGCUUUGACAUUUGGUCCCAGCAUUCCUCUUGAAACCUACAUAUUAUUGUAAAUAACUUUUAAAAAGUUUAUUUUUCUGUUCCAACAACCGUGCUAUACUUCCAGAUAUUGAUUCACAAACUCACUGACUACAUGUUUAAACCAAAUCCUGUAUAAAGGGACAACAUAGUCUGGCUAUAUCCAGUCUAGACAGGCUACACUAAUACCAUACUUAUAAAACAAAAACGUUUUCUUUUUUGACUGGAAUGGUGAUGGAUACAUGUAUGAGUUUCCACUUUUAAAUUUAUUUAAUUGUACAUGUCUUUAGGAAAACAUGGAUUUCGGUUUUGUAACUUAACUUUCAUCAUUUACAUAAAUGUGAGCAUAUGGUUGAUUUGAAGGGUCUGAUAUUGUAAGCAUAAACUGAACAGCAGAACCUUAUUACAUUCUAGACUUUGAAAAAUAAGGGGAGAGUACUUUCUGGAUAUCUGCAGCAUCAUAGAACUGGAGUCAAAAUUGCUUCCAGACUUUUUCAGAGGCCAAAGAAUCCAGAAUAUUUUGAUUAAGUUCCAUUGUACAUGAAGUUUAUAUAGAAACCAUAUAAGAAUGUGCAGGCUAAACUAGAACUUUAUUGUCUAUAUUUAUUGCCAUUAAACAUGAAAAUAAAAUGUUUCAGUUUUCAUGCAACUUAA
rnacentral:misc_RNA from 1 species